GUACACUCCUACGGGAGGCAGCAGUGGGGAAUAUUGGACAAUGGGCGCAAGCCUGAUCCAGCCAUGCCGCGUGAGUGAUGAAGGCCCUAGGGUUGUAAAGCUCUUUCACCGGUGAAGAUAAUGACGGUAACCGGAGAAGAAGCCCCGGCUAACUUCGUGCCAGCAGCCGCGGUAAUACGAAGGGGGCUAGCGUUGUUCGGAUUUACUGGGCGUAAAGCGCACGUAGGCGGACUAUUAAGUCAGGGGUGAAAUCCCGGGGCUCAACCCCGGAACUGCCUUUGAUACUGGUAGUCUUGAGUUCGAGAGAGGUGAGUGGAAUUCCGAGUGGAGAGGUGAAAUUCGUAGAUAUUCGGAGGAACACCAGUGGCGAAGGCGGCUCACUGGCUCGAUACUGACGCUGAGGUGCGAAAGCGUGGGGAGCAAACAGGAUUAGAAACCCUUGUAGUCCC
rnacentral:rRNA from 1 species